rnacentral:rRNA from 1 species
AAUAGAUACCCGGGUAGUCCACGCCGUAAACGAUGAGUGCUAAGUGUUAGGGGGUUUCCGCCCCUUAGUGCUGCAGCUAACGCAUUAAGCACUCCGCCUGGGGAGUACGGUCGCAAGACUGAAACUCAAAGGAAUUGACGGGGGCCCGCACAAGCGGUGGAGCAUGUGGUUUAAUUCGAAGCAACGCGAAGAACCUUACCAGGUCUUGACAUCCCGCUGACCGCUAUGGAGACAUAGCCUUCCCUUCGGGGACAGCGGUGACAGGUGGUGCAUGGUUGUCGUCAGCUCGUGUCGUGAGAUGUUGGGUUAAGUCCCGCAACGAGCGCAACCCUUGAGAUUAGUUGCCAUCAUUCAGUUGGGCACUCUAAUCUGACUACCGGUGAUAAACCGGAGGAAGGUGGGGAUGACGUCAAAUCAUCAUGCCCCUUAUGACCUGGGCUACACACGUGCUACAAUGGACGGUACAAACGGUUGCCAACCCGCGAGGGGAGCCAAUCCGAUAAAACCGUUCUCAGUUCGGAUUGUAGGCUGCAACUCGCCUA